UCUGUAAAGAAGUGGACAGUCCUUCAGGAGCAUGAGUGCCAGAGAUGGAAGGCUACUAUGGAAACAGUGCAACAGAAUCUCCACUAAGUACAUGAAGGUGGAAGGGCCAAUGUGGAGUCAGUAGCAUCCCCUCUAACACAACUGUGGGCCAGGACGUUCAACAUGAGAGGACAUCCAACUCAGGUGACCGCUGAAUUCCCUGACAAAAUGUUUAUAAAAACGUUGGAACAAUAAACCUCUUGUGGAUUGC
rnacentral:lncRNA from 1 species